rnacentral:ncRNA from 2 species
CUGUCCGAGGGGCGCUGCAGCAGGUUCAACCUGUCAGGCUCGGAUGGGGCGUUGACCGGCUCAGGCCGGACACUAAACGCACAACGGCGCCCAUUCGCA